GGGCAUAAUGGUCAUUUCGCCCUUUGGUAAAAAAGUUCCAGCACACUCUGAUCAUCUCCAUAAUCAUAUUCAUUCAAUCUUCACUCUUCGGAUAUAUCUCUUUUCUCUGGAAGAUAUUCAACGCUGCUUCAUGUAGCUAUUUUUGGUCAGGUUUUCUCAGCUUCAGCUACACCACGGAGACUUCAUCAUGGUGAAUCGAACAGCUAUUACGAGCUUCAGCUAUGCCAUUGAAAAAUUUAGUGGUGAGGUCUUGGACUUCUGUGUGAAGGGUAUAAUACUUAAAGUUGCUGAUUGGAUGAUUGUUGCUUCUGGGGGUGCUUAUGAUACAAAAAAUCUUCAGGAGUGCAUGGGAUCAGCUGUUAUUGCUAUGGGACCAGAGAAACAGUUUUCCUGAAUAUGAAGGAUUACUCUUUGUCAAACAGUUGGUUGAUUCCUGUUUUAAAUAAAUAUGUAUGUGGAUCAUCACUUGGGUUCUUUAUGAAGCAUGUGGUGCCACUUGUUGUGUCCUUCGAACAAGCAUCAUCAAAAGGUAGGCAUAUGUUGUUGUGCUUUUGUAUGUUUGACUCAGUGGUACAAUUUAAUACUUCACAGAUAAGCAUGGUUAUAGGAUAAAUAGUAACUCUUUCUAUGGCAAUUAAAUAGCGAAGUAUCACUAUCUUUUCUCUGAUCGGGAAGAGUGGAGUCA